GGCCCGGUCGUCUAGGGGCCUAGGACGCCGCCCUCUCAAGGCGGUAACGGGGGUUCAAAUCCCCUCCGGGCUACCA
rnacentral:tRNA from 1 species